rnacentral:rRNA from 1 species
AUUGCCCUAGUAACGGCGAGUGAAGCGGCAACAGCUCAAAUUUGAAAUCUGGCCUUCGGGUCCGAGUUGUAAUUUGUAGAGGAUGCUUUUGGUGAGGUGCCUUCCGAGUUCCCUGGAACGGGACGCCAUAGAGGGUGAGAGCCCCGUCUGGUUGGACACCGAUCCUCUGUAAAGCUCCUUCAACGAGUCGAGUAGUUUGGGAAUGCUGCUCUAAAUGGGAGGUAUAUGUCUUCUAAAGCUAAAUAUUGGCCAGAGACCGAUAGCGCACAAGUAGAGUGAUCGAAAGAUGAAAAGCACUUUGAAAAGAGAGUUAAAAAGUACGUGAAAUUGUUGAAAGGGAAGCGCUCAUGACCAGACUUGGGCUUGGUUGAUCAUCCAGGGUUCUCCCUGGUGCACUCUUCCAGUUCAGGCCAGCAUCAGUUCGCUGCGGGGGAUAAAGGCUUUGGGAAUGUGGCUCCUUCGGGAGUGUUAUAGCCCAUUGUGUAAUACCCUGUGGUGGACUGAGGACCGCGCUUUUGCAAGGAUGCUGGCGUAAUGGUCAUCAGUGACCCGUCUUGAAACACGGACCAAGGAGUCGUCUUCGUAUGCGAGUGUUCGGGUGUUAAACCCCUACGCGUAAUGAAAGUGAACGCAGGUGAGAGCUUCGGCGCAUCAUCGACCGAUCCUGAUGUUCUCGGAUGGAUUUGAGUAAGAGCAUACGGGGCCGGACCCGAAAGAAGGUGAACUAUGCCUGUAUAGGGUGAAGCCAGAGGAAACUCUGGUGGAGGCUCGCAGCGGUUCUGACCUGCAAAUCGAUCGUCAAAUAUGGGCAUGGGGGCGAAAGACUAAU